rnacentral:rRNA from 1 species
UGAACUUAAACGACCGCGCGAUGUUAAUGCUUCUAANAGUUUUAGGCUGUGUGGUUUAAAGUACUAACAUCCUAGGUCCGUUCGUUUAACACACGCCUGCUCCGGCGCGCGGCGCAUGGGGACGGGGAUAACUAGGUUCUAGGGACACACCUAGCCUAGACUAGAGACGAGAGGAGACUACACCAUAACAUAGAGAACACCCGAGNAUAAGCCUAAAAGAUAUCCAGCACAUACAACCGNAUCCGCCAAAGAACCCCAAAAGAACGNGANGAGAGANCCCCCAUAUUCAGGAAGGUCCCCAUUCCAAAUAGGACCAAAAAUCCAGGGAANUNAGGUAAGGCCCCCNAGGAACCAUAUGAGAGGAACUAUUAAGGCAUUAAANGAAUNUUACAGAAGGAAAGGNGGAGGAGGGUAAACAACCAGGAGGGNAUUAUCAAAGUCGCCCCAUAAAAAGAGANGGUCNAGAAACAACCGGGAAAUAAUUCCAGCCACCCAUAUAAAAAGUUGCCAGAAGGGGGGAAAUCCCUAUGGGAACGGGAAANAGGAGGGGAAAUUUAUAGANAACACUCCCAGAGGAGGUCCUNACAAGCCAAUGCUAAAGAGGGAACAAACUCCCGAUAAGNGAAGGAAACACGAAACCAGAAGGGUGAUCCCCCNAGAGGAAAAAGACNAUAUACCGCCGUUAAACGCCCGGAUGGAGAGAAACUGGGAGGGCAAGCAGGCCAACAGGGAAUAGGAGGAAGGUGAGGAAACAACAAUAAAAC